rnacentral:rRNA from 1 species
CCUACGGGAGGCAGCAGUGGGGAAUCUUGCGCAAUGGGCGAAAGCCUGACGCAGCCAUGCCGCGUGAAUGAUGAAGGUCUUAGGAUUGUAAAAUUCUUUCACCGGGGACGAUAAUGACGGUACCCGGAGAAGAAGCCCCGGCUAACUUCGUGCCAGCAGCCGCGGUAAUACGAAGGGGGCUAGCGUUGCUCGGAAUUACUGGGCGUAAAGGGAGCGUAGGCGGAUAGUUUAGUCAGAGGUGAAAGCCCAGGGCUCAACCUUGGAAUUGCCUUUGAUACUGGCUAUCUUGAGUGUGGGAGAGGUUAGCGGAACUCCGAGUGUAGAGGUGAAAUUCGUAGAUAUUCGGAAGAACACCAGUGGCGAAGGCGGCUAACUGGCCCAUUACUGACGCUGAGGCUCGAAAGCGUGGGGAGCAAACAGGAUUAGAUACCCUGGUAGUCCACGCCGUAAACGAUGAGUGCUAGUUGUCGGCAUGCAUGCAUGUCGGUGACGCAGCUAACGCAUUAAGCACUCCGCCUGGGGAGUACGGUCGCAAGAUUAAAACUCAAAAUGAAAUUGACGG